UUUCAAUUUUAAGAAUUCUAAUUGUUUUGUAUUCUUAAUUUUUUUUUUAUAUUUUUUUAUAGGAUUAUUUUUUUUUUUUUUAUUUGUUUUCUUAGUCUUACAUCUUACUGCUAUUCAGUGAAAAUGCAAACAUGUUUUAACAAUAUCAACAACUUUGGUGUAAUAGAACUUUACACCAGAUGCUCAAAGGGCAUAAAAGAGACAUUAAGACCAGUAAGACAUCGACAGCCCUGGCCGAACAUGUAAUAACUGAAGAUCUUAUAACUGAAUGGGAUGACGCACAAAUAGUUAAACCACCUUUUAACCCGACCACAGCCAUAACCCAAGAGACGAUAGAAAUAUUAACCAGGAAGAAGAAACAAAAUCUGCUCAAUGAUAAACCCACAGCCGAUUUGUGUACGGCAUGGACGUAUUAACACAACAAGGGAAGAUAUGAAUAGCUUAAAGAAAUCAUAACUUAUUAUCAGUCUGGUCUAACUUAUACCCAUUUGUAUCUAGUUUUUUUAUUUAUG
rnacentral:lncRNA from 1 species